rnacentral:snRNA from 1 species
GAUAUUGAUGCAUAUUAAAGACUGAAAAUUGGAACGAUACAGAGAAGAUUAGCAUGGCCCCUGCGCAAGGAUGACACGCAUAAAUCGAGAAAUGGUCCAAAUUUUU